rnacentral:rRNA from 1 species
AACGAACGCUGGCGGCGUGGAUAAGACAUGCAAGUCGAACGAGAUUUUUCGUUGUAGCAAUACGAUGGAAAGUCUAGUGGCGAACGGGUGCUUAACACGUGGGCAACCUGCCAGGAAGUGGGGGAUAGCUCGCCGAAAGGCGAAUUAAUACCGCAUGUGAUUAGAGAGGACAUCCUUUCGAAAUUAAAGUCGGGGCAACCUGACGCUUCUUGUGGGGCCCGCGGCCUAUCAGCUAGUUGGUGAGGUAACGGCGCACCAAGGCUUUGACGGGUAGCUGGUCUGAGAGGACGACCAGACACACUGGGACUGAGACACGGCCCAGACACCUACGGGUGGCAGCAGUCGAGAAUUUUUGACAAUGGGGGAAACCCUGAUCGAGCGACGCCGCGUGGAGGAUGAAGGUCUUCGGAUUGUAAACUCCUGUCAUUGGGGAACAAUGCACAGAUAUUAACUGUAUUUGUGUUGAUAGUACCCGAAGAGGAAGAGACGGCUAACUCUGUGCCAGCAGCCGCUGUAAAAC